GCGAGAGUGGCGGAAUUGGCAGACGCGCAGGACUUAGGAUCCUGUGGGCAACCGUGCGGGUUCAAAUCCCGCCUCUCGCA
rnacentral:tRNA from 1 species